CCUACGGGAGGCAGCAGUGAGGAAUAUUGGUCAAUGGCCGGGAGGCUGAACCAGCCAAGUCGCGUGAGGGAAGACGGCCCUACGGGUUGUAAACCUCUUUUGUCAGGGAGCAAGGUGCGGGUCGGGACCUGCUGUGAGAGUACCUGAAGAAAAAGCAUCGGCUAACUCCGUGCCAGCAGCCGCGGUAAUACGGAGGAUGCGAGCGUUAUCCGGAUUUAUUGGGUUUAAAGGGUGCGCAGGCGGAGGGACAAGUCAGCGGUAAAAUCGCGGGGCUCAACCCCGACCCGCCGUUGAAACUGUGUGCCUUGAGUGCGCGAAGGGUAGGCGGAAUGCGUGGUGUAGCGGUGAAAUGCAUAGAUAUCACGCAGAACUCCGAUCGCGAAGGCAGCCUACCGGCGCGCAACUGACGCUCAUGCACGAAAGCGUGGGUAUCGAACAGGAUUAGAUACCCGGGUAGUC
rnacentral:rRNA from 1 species